AGAAGAAAAUUUUACCUCUUUUGGUGAUCGGCGGUGACUCUGGUGUGGCAAUAACCGAUGGUCGACCUCCUUCUCCGACGUCUAGUUCUUCUUCUCUAGCAAGGGCAAGACGACUAAGGUUAGGGUUCUCUAUAACACAAUGCUUAAAUACUCAUCCUGUGUCGAUCUAGGCCGUUCGUUCGAGAAGACGUGGCCCUCUAUCGUCUGUUGGAUAUAUUCUAUUCAGGGAAUGAAUCUAAACCACAUGAUCAGAUUGAAUUUAACUAUUCGAUAGUGCCUAAAGAGAGAACGCAUCUGGAUUAUUUACGCGCGGUGGAUGAGAUAUGGGUCAUUAGAUUGUUGGGCAUGCAGAUCGCUUGAGCCAUGUCAACUGGUUGCCACGCGGCAUGCUCUGGUUUGCUGGGGCUACUGACUGGGCCAUUUC
rnacentral:lncRNA from 1 species